AAUGAACGUUGGCGGCGUGGAUUAGGCAUGCAAGUCGAGCGAGAACCCGCAAGGGGGACAGCGGCGAACGGGGUAGGAAUACGUAGGUAACGUACCCUCGGGGCGAGGACAGCCACGGGAAACUGUGGGUAAUACUCGAUAAACUUCCCAAUCAUUAUGGAAGGGGAAGCAAUGGGUGUGAUUCCACCUGAGGAGCGGCUUACGCAGUAUCAGCUAGUUGGUGAGGUAACGGCUCACCAAGGCUACGACGCUUAGGGGGUGUGAGAGCAUGGCCCCCACCACUGGCACUGAGACACUGGCCAGACACCUACGGGUGGCUGCAGUCGAGAAUCUUCGGCAAUGGACGCAAGUCUGACCGAGCGACGCCGCGUGUGGGAUGAAGGGCCCUUCGGGUU
rnacentral:rRNA from 1 species